rnacentral:tRNA from 1 species
GCUGGUUUGGCUCAGUGGAAAGAGCAUCAGCCUGCAGACUGAAAGGUCCCAGGUUCAAUUCUGGAAGGCAGCU